rnacentral:rRNA from 1 species
AUACGUAGGGGGCGAGCGUUGUCCGGAAUGAUUGGGCGUAAAGGGCGCGUAGGCGGCCUGUUAAGUCUGGAGUGAAAGUCCUGUUUUCAAGAUGGGAAUUGCUUUGGAUACUGAUGGGCUUGAGUGCAGGAGAGGUUAUCGGAAUUCCCGGUGUAGCGGUGAAAUGCGUAGAGAUCGGGAGGAACACCAGUGGCGAAGGCGGCUUACUGGGCCGUAACUGACGCUGAGGCGCGAAAGCGUGGGGAGCGAACAGGAUUAGAUACCCUGGUAGUCCACGCGGUAAACGAUGAAUGCUAGGUGUUGCGGGUAUCGACCCCUGCAGUGCCGGAGUCAACACAAUAAGCAUUCCGCCUGGGGAGUACGGCCGCAAGGUUGAAACUCAAAGGAAUUGGCGGGG